AUGCUCACUGUGGCAACACAUAUACUCAAACUGGAAUGAUACAGAGAUGAGCAUGGCCUCUGUGCAAGGAUAACAUGCAAAUUUAUGAAGAUAUCCAUAUUAUU
rnacentral:snRNA from 1 species